AGUGAGCGCUGGCGGUAGGCCUAACACAUGCAAGUCGAACGGCAGCACAGUAAGAGCUUGCUCUUACGGGUGGCGAGUGGCGGACGGGUGAGGAAUACAUCGGACUCUACUUUUUCGUGGGGGAUAACGUAGGUAAACUUACGCUAAUACCGCAUACGACCUACGGGUGAAAGCAGGGGAUCUUCUGACCUUGCGCGAUUGAAUGAGCCGAUGUCGGAUUAGCUAGUUGGCGGGGUAAAGGCCCACCAAGGCGCCGAUCCGUAGCUGGUCUGAGAGGAUGAUCAGCCACACUGGAACUGAGACACGGUACAGACUCCUACGGGAGGCAGCAGUGGGGAAGAUUGGACAAUGGGCGCAAGCCUGAUCCAGCCAUACCGCGUGGGUGAAGAAGGCCUUCGGGUUGUAAAGCCCUUUUGUUGGGAAAGAAAAGCAGCAGGUUAAUACCACGCUGUUCUGACGGUACCCAAAGAAUAAGCACCGGCUAACUUCGU
rnacentral:rRNA from 1 species